rfam:Dipodomys ordii contig_7450, whole genome shotgun sequence.
GGUGGCUCAGCGGUAGAGUGCUUGCCUUGCAUGCAUGAAGCCCUGGGUUCGAUUCCUCAGCACCA